ensembl:lncRNA
UCAAUUUUAAGAACUUUAUCCAAAACCACAACUUCCAACUGAUAUUAACAAAACUUGUCGUUUUCACCAUAGUAAAAGAAUGAACCAGUACUAAGUACACACAUAGUGAAAACAGUCAAUAACUGGAAAACAACAUAACAGGAGCUUAAAAGAAUACACUUCUGUCAACUAAACUUGCUGAUUACAGUAAAUUUAGAGAAAACAGAGGACAUUUUUAAAAAGUUGUUUUUCUCUUUACAGAUAAGAGAUCCACAUUUCAAGAACUAUGAUUACAAGAGUAAAGGUUUUCCUUUAAACCAACCCAUCUAUUACAAAAACAACACAGAGAAGCCCUGCAAAUCUGUUGGUGUACAAAACGGUAGCAGACAGAAAGCACAAGAGGGUUAAAUUGUCAAGGAUUAUUAAUAAAAAAAUAAUAGUGCAUACUAAAGGGCUCCUGUAAAGCUGUUUUACAUGAGCUGAAGGAUGUGAUAUUCAUGAGAUUGUGAUUUUGUGCGAAGUACAGAUGCUUUCAGAAGUGUCACUAUUUAGCUUAUUUUGGAAAAAAACCCCAAGAACUAACAAAACCCCCUCAAGCAAUUAGGCAAUAUUUGCGAUAACUGAAAAACAAAUGUUAUAGGCUAGCUCACAAAGCCAGCUACUAGAUUUAUUUACAUUAGUUUAAAAUUUCACUGAGGCUUUCCACUCCACUCCUUCCAAAUUGUAACUUCAGAACUGAAAGGGGUCUUUGUUAGAGAAGGAAUAAAUAUUUCUCAAAUUAGGUGCUCAGACAAUAGAAAAAAUAGUGCAAUUCUUUGCUACAUUAUAUACUCUUCCAGCAUAUCUAUCAAAAUACUCAGACUUGGUUUUUAUUACCUUCUCAUUUAAAAAAAAUACAGCUUUCAGCUUGCUUGCUUGCUUGCUUUUCAUUAGGAAAUUAUGGACAUCUUUAGAUAUAUUUAAAAUAAAACCCCAGCAACCCGGAGCUAGUCUUGCAAGUUGAUCCACUGAAGCAGAUGUCAGAAGUGUAGAUGUGUUAUCAAUCCAGUUGACUCCAGGGGGAGGAAAAGGUCCCUCUGGAAUGAGCAGCUUGCAGGCUCCGGAACUUCGAUCACCCUUAAGUAGGCAGUAACUGAGAAGAGUUUUAGGUGUAGAUCUGCAAACGGUUCAAUCUUACUUGCUCAUUAGGGGGACUGAACUCCACAGGAAAUGCGACAAUACCUUAACGACUGCAAAUCAGGAAGCUCCAAAAACAACACCAGGACAAGCAGGGACUGUGAGGGAGGCUGUUCAGCGCUCUCAGUUCUGGCCAAGAAAUACACUUCCUUUCUGUCACAAUGAGAUUUAGAAAUGCUCGAUCUGGCUAUAGCAGCUUGGCUAUGCAUGUCAGAACUACAGGUGUGUCUAGAUUUGAAAUUGUUUUGUACACUGUGGUUGUUUUUCUUUAUUGAAUAGGCCAGUGUUUAAUGGCCUUGACUCUACAAUAAAUCACGUGGAGCUUUUCUAUUCUUCUUAGUGCCCACUUCCACUCCCCUUGCCUUACCCCAAAUGCAUUACCACUGAUUCUGAUUUGCUAAAAAUAACAAAGGACUUUGGAUUGAGAAAAGCUCAGUACAUGCUGAUGGCAGAACAGUGCAGUAUAUUUAUAGAAUCUGAAUUUCUAAAAGGUAGCUUUGCGUUGUAUAGAUACUGACAGUACAGUUACCAAGCUUCACGGCCACAUUCCCUAUGCAUCCAGAGAAGAGCAUAGUGGUGACUUCAUUUUCCCUGUUUUGAGUUGGAAAACAAGGUAAAAGGCAAGAGGGUCUGUAUGAGGAAGCACAAAAAGUUAGCGUCAGAUUAAGGGCAGUAGGAGACUUUAAGGCCUCAGGAUGCUUUGACUUCUUUAGGAUGUUCCCAGAUCAGGAGCAAAGGGCUAACUGCAUGUAAAACCACCCCUAUCUUUACCUUAUGGUGGCUGACCAGUGUACCAAUAACAAUAUACCUAACAGAAUAUUGAUCUCUGGCUCUUCUUGUGUGAUGGAAUAAAUGCAUUUGUUUCUCUGUAAAAUGAGGAGGUACAUGCUGUACCUGAUGGUUAGUUCAGUUAAACUCGGCUCAGGCUGUGGGUCUAGGGAGCCUGCAGGGGUCAGAGGGGCAGAGCAGGAGUUAAUGAAGUGCUCAGCUCUGCCUGUCAGAACCCUGAUGUCUGACAUUAUCGCCAGGGACCUGAUCACCCUUUUCCUCUCUGUGCAUUAAACAGAUGAAAUCCAAUUUCUCCAGAGCUCUGAAUGCUCCAAAAGAACACAAGCAUUUUGAUCUGGGAUUCUGAUUUUUGGCCUAAUUAUCUCAACAAUAGAAGUCGUCCUUAAAAAGAGUAAUUUUCCAGAUUCUGCCCUGUGAUUAGCCACAGGAAACCCAGUAAAAUUACAUCAGAUAAACAGACAGAGCUACAUGAAAUUAAUAACUCUCAGCAGCCUGCAGAGAAAUGGGAAGAGGAUAUUAACAACCGGAAUUGUUUGAGAAUAGCAAAAUGAAAGUUUCUAGUAGGAUACAAAAUAGAUAACAACCUUCAGACUAAGGGCUCCUAGUUUUGUUUGGUCACAGACACAAAGGCACAUUUUCCCUUAAUCUUCAAAUGGAUGUACAGGAUAAGGAUUUUGGAGAGGGGAUCUCAUUACUUCAGAGGUAUCCAUCACCUCACUUGCCUACUCAAAUGGCCAAAUACAGUAUUUGUAGCAGACAAGUCUCUCUACUACUGAUCAGUGUAUCAGUUUCAAAAUCUGGUUUUCAGUUUUGCAGGUGUGUUGACACAGAAAUACAUCCCCCUCCCUCAUUUUAUUUUUGGAGGAUGUUAAUGCUGUGGACAAGCACAGCCUCCUAGCCCUACAGGGAACAAUAUAACAGCAGUAGCUGUGUGGGUUUCACCCACCUUUAUAAUUGUUCAGCCUUUAGUCUCUGCUGUGGUGGCUGCGCCGCUGCUGUGUUUAGCUUCUGACUGCUCAGAGCAAAAAGAGAAAGCUUGAUAAUUUUAUCUGUUGCCAUGGCUAGAAGAGACUUGUUAGGCGAUUCAGUUUGUCUCCUUGCUUCCCAUGGCUCAUUAAUAACUUUGCAGAGCACAUACACUAUUUCUUCUUCUGUUUGUAUGAGGAAGAUCUCAAGAGAACUAGAGGUCCAACACUGCAUAAAGUGUUUUGCUUUGUCUGCUACUGAACAAACUCCAAUUAAGAUCUUGUAACUGUUAUCAGUGCUAGACGCUUACAUUUAAAGCACAGAUCUUCCACAAGCAGAAUCCUGCUCUCAUGCUGACACACAAAAGGCUCAUCAAAGCACAGAGCUCUCUUCUGCCUUUCCCAAAGAGCUUCAGCGAACAGCUCUGGGGAAUGCGGCUGGGCGCUCUUGUCACCCCUCACUGAGUGACAGCAGUUAUCCAACUGCCUGGCUCCAACGAAAGGAGAAACUACAGUGCUCUAAGUCAAGCUGUGCUGAUAGUUCAGGGUAUAACAUACACCCACAUCAAGAAGUGGUAACACAUUUCACAGGACCAUAUGUAUGACAUCCACCAUUCAUCUACUUCUCUGUUCCCUUCUGUGGCUUCUCUGAAUUUAAUGAUGAAUAAGUAAAUACCCUUUUUCAGCAGCUGAAUUCAAACCUUCCCUAGCCUCCCAGAAGAUGGAAGUGGUUGUAGUGGAUGGAGCCAGAACACGAAAUCCAAAAAUAUAGUGUGCUUGUUAUAAAUAUCAAAGUAGAUCAGAAUUUGAACCAGUUCUGCCCAGUGCGAUUUAGAGAUCUAAAGGCAGUAUCCUUGUACCUGCAUCCUAAACCUAACAGUUUUCCCAAGAGAAAAGCUGCACAAUUACUGUGCAGUUUAACUAUGAGACAGGAAAUGCUUGCACUUGCUGCCUGUACCCAGUUUGUUAUGCCACCCUGUCAAAUUUAUUACUUUAAUUAAAGUUCUGUCUCACCCUUCUUGACAACUCAGCC